UAGGAACCAGAGGCCUCAAUUAACUAUAUGCGAACUUCUAAACUGGACCAGAAGUCAUAUGAUUUCUAUUCAAAAAUUUUCUUCAGAACAAUGUUAGGCAGAUGACUGGCGUGAUCAAUUGUUAAUGAUUGAUAACAGAUGCAAUUUUUUUAUUAAUAUUUUUAUUGCUUUAUAUAAAACCAAUACUUUUGAAGAUAUAAAUAUAGCAUUAUAUUUAAAUAAUGAAAAUUGAUUAAAACUUUCAGUAAUGUUAACUUAAUUUUUCAGGAAUGAUCCAGAGAGAAGAUAUAUCAUGUUUAAUCCUUAAAUGAUUACUUUCAUAUUAAUCUUAUUGAUUAAAAGACAUGACAGUUAAUGGCAAAAGUUCACUUAUUUUAAAAGAGAAAGAAUAAUGACAACAAAAAUAAAACAGUAUGCUUAAGAAUAUACUUUCAAAUCUUCAAAUGAUAAAACAGAAUUUUCCAGAAAAAAAGAAUUUGCCUGAGGUGGAACUCAACUCUGCAGAUGCAUUGCCAGUUACACUACCUGGAUCUCUGUUUGAUCUUCACUUCCAGAAUUAUUAAUUUAGAUAUAAAAAUACUGGUUACUCAUGCUGCUGACAAGGGAUGACUUCAGAGCCCACAGCAUGAUUGUGUGAGGGUCGUAAAAGUGCGUCUAAAUUUCGACUAAUUAUGAAACAAUUUGAUCUUCGAAACUCUCCAUUUCGAAGAUUGAAUCGGGUCAAGAGAACUGUGUCGGGUCUAAACAAUUGAGAAAAGGGGGGGUAAAUGACCACAAGAACAUCUGGUAGACUGUUUAGGUUCAAAGAUGUCAAGAGAAAAGGGUCAUAAUGGAGUAAAAUAUGAGCAUGGACUUUAAAAGUUCCAUCAUCACCUCUUCAACCUUUUCCUGACCCAGAUCGGUCUCAGGUUUCACCUAGAGACAAAGGAAUGACCAAUCGGGGUAAAGGAGAGGGUGAACAGGACCAAUCAAAAGGGUGAUAUUUGGGGAAAAUCCUAUAAAACCCCCAAAUCUCAAGGACAAACAUCAAUUCUUCUCUGGACAAGUGUUUCUCUGUAGAUCCAGGACCUUCGCCAACCAAACCCUGGGAUGCUGCGGACCACAAACUGCAUCCGACCAGCGACAACCGGAGACCACUACCAAGCUGGUCUAGAUAGCAUUGUAUAUAGAUACUAUGUAAGUUAAUUUCAUGUAAAAAAUAAACAGUUUGAUGUAAGACACUUGUCAUCUUUGUCUCCUGCUGCAUCUACCCACAUACAAUUCGCCCCUAGGUUUUCCUGACGCGCAAUUAACUUAUUGCCCCUAAAAGUCGCCGACCUUAGACAAUUGUCUAUGUGUGUAUCAUCAUCAUUU